rnacentral:lncRNA from 1 species
AUUAGCGGCUUUAACUAUAACCUCAGCUCUAUUUAUUGGUCGAGAGCAAGAUACAACUUAUUUAAACUGAAUAUUUAAAAUGAACAAUUCAUAAAAAGAAAUCCUUCUGUAGGAUUACGCGUAUUCUAUAUUUACUUACGUUACCAAUUGUCAAUUCUUGUUCAUUAUCAUUGAGAUUCAUGUCAAUUCGGAUUAAUAUUUAGGUAUCGAUACUACCUCUUUUUUUCUCU